AAUAUUGGACAAUGGGCGCAAGCCUGAUCCAGCCAUGCCGCGUGAGUGAUGAAGGCCCUAGGGUUGUAAAGCUCUUUUGUGCGGGAAGAUAAUGACGGUACCGCAAGAAUAAGCCCCGGCUAACUUCGUGCCAGCAGCCGCGGUAAUACGAAGGGGGCUAGCGUUGCUCGGAAUCACUGGGCGUAAAGGGUGCGUAGGCGGGUCUUUAAGUCAGGGGUGAAAUCCUGGAGCUCAACUCCAGAACUGCCUUUGAUACUGAAGAUCUUGAGUUCGGGAGAGGUGAGUGGAACUGCGAGUGUAGAGGUGAAAUUCGUAGAUAUUCGCAAGAACACCAGUGGCGAAGGCGGCUCACUGGCCCGAUACUGACGCUGAGGCACGAAAGCGUGGGGAGCAA
rnacentral:rRNA from 1 species